rnacentral:rRNA from 1 species
GCCCAGAGCCUGAAUCAGUGUGUGUGUUAGUGGAAGCGUCUGGAAAGGCGCGCGAUACAGGGUGACAGCCCCGUACACAAAAAUGCACAUAUUGUGAGCUCGAUGAGUAGGGCGGGACACGUGGUAUCCUGUCUGAAUAUGGGGGGCCCAUCCUCCAAGGCUAAAUACUCCUGACUGACCGAUAGUGAACCAGUACCGUGAGGGAAAGGCGAAAAGAACCCCGGCGAGGGGAGUGAAAAAGAACCUGAAACCGUGUACGUACAAGCAGUGGGAGCACGCUUAGGCGUGUGACUGCGUACCUUUUGUAUAAUGGGUCAGCGACUUAUAUUCUGUAGCAAGGUUAACCGAAUAGGGGAGCCGAAGGGAAACCGAGUCUUAACUGGGCGUUAAGUUGCAGGGUAUAGACCCGAAACCCGGUGAUCUAGCCAUGGGCAGGUUGAAGGUUGGGUAACACUAACUGGAGGACCGAACCGACUAAUGUUGAAAAAUUAGCGGAUGACUUGUGGCUGGGGGUGAAAGGCCAAUCAAACCGGGAGAUAGCUGGUUCUCCCCGAAAGCUAUUUAGGUAGCGCCUCGUGAAUUCAUCUCCGGGGGUAGAGCACUGUUUCGGCA